AACGAACGCUGGCGGCGCGCCUAACACAUGCAAGUCGAACGAGAGGCUCUUCGGAGUAGUAAAGUGGCAAACGGGUGAGGAAUGCAUGGGUAACCUACCCUCGAGAAGGGAAUAACUCGCCGAAAGGUGAGCUAAUACCCUAUACGCUGCACUUCCCAUGGGAAGUGCAGGAAAGCUAAACCGUGGGUUUGGCGCUCAAGGAGGGGCUCAUGCCCUAUCAGCUUGUUGGUGGGUAACGGCCUACCAAGGCAACGACGGGUAGCUGGUCUGAGAGGAUGAUCAGCCACACUGGCACUGAGACACGGGCCAGACUCCUACGGGAGGCAGCAGUGAGGAAUAUUGCGCAAUGGGCGAAAGCCUGACGCAGCGACGCCGCGUGGGGGAUGAAGGUUUUCGGAUUGUAAACCCCUUUUGUGAGGAAAGAGAAAGUGGGUAACCACUUAGACGGUACCUCAAGAAAAAGCCACGGCUAACUUCGUG
rnacentral:rRNA from 1 species